rnacentral:rRNA from 1 species
CACGUAGGGCGCAAGCGUUGUCCGGAAUUAUUGGGCGUAAAGAGCUCGUAGGCGGUCUGUUGCGUCUGCUGUGAAAACCCGGGGCUUAACCCCUGGCUUGCAGUGGAUACGGACAGACUAGAGGUAGGUAGGGGAGAAUGGAAUUCCCGGUGUAGCGGUGAAAUGCGCAGAUAUCGGGAGGAACACCGGUGGCGAAGGCGGUUCUCUGGGCCUUACCUGACGCUGAGGAGCGAAAGCGUGGGUAGCGAACAGG